ACCUGGGUAGCUCAGUCGGUUGAGCAUCUGACUUCAACUCAGGUCAUGAUCUCACGGUUCCUGGGUU
rnacentral:tRNA from 1 species